CACAUGACUCUCGGUAACGGAUAUCUCGGCUCUCGCAUCGAUGAAGAACGUAGCGAAAUGCGAUACCUGGUGUGAAUUGCAGAAUCCCGCGAACCAUCGAGUCUUUGAACGCAAGUUGCGCCCGAGGCCACUCGGCCGAGGGCACGCCUGCCUGGGCGUCACGC
rnacentral:rRNA from 1 species